CACGUAGGGUGCGAGCGUUGUCCGGAAUUAUUGGGCGUAAAGAGCUCGUAGGCGGCGUGUCGCGUCGGCCGUGAAAACCUGCAGCUUAACUGUGGGCUUGCGGUCGAUACGGGCAUCACUGGAGUUCGGCAGGGGAGACUGGAAUUCCUGGUGUAGCGGUGAAAUGCGCAGAUAUCAGGAGGAACACCGGUGGCGAAGGCGGAUCUCUGGGCCUUACCUGACGCUCAGGUGCGAAAGCUAGGGGAGCGAACAGG
rnacentral:rRNA from 1 species